UAACGCUCGGAGGCGGAAAUAGAAACAUUUUCAUUUCUUUUAACCGAUUUUCUGUUUUGAUAUUAAUAUUUAUUUGUUUUAUUUUUGAUUAUUGGCGAUAAAAGGUAAUUAAUUAUGGAAUUAGAUAAACCAGAUGAUCUAACUGAUCCGAAUACGGGUGAAAUUAUCGUUGAAGAAGACGCGGCGACGACUGUCACUCAUGUUACUUUACCAACACCGAUAGAAGUGGAAACGAUCCCAACCCGCAGAAAAACGGCCGGUAAAGUUGGUAGACCGAUAACUAGUCCUCGGACUUUAGCAGCGACUUUUCCAGAGAUACCAAUUAUCUUGGCCAAACUUGAAGCUGGAGAAUGUUUCACCCGAACCCGAACUUCUCAUGCCUCUUCCGAGGUUUGGUCUCUUUUUGAUGAGAUUGCCUACACGGAGAAUUCAGAAUUUACUGGUAUUGUAAGAUGUAAAAUGUGUCACUUUAUGACCCGUUAUCAUGGUCAAAUAACUGGUACCUCACACAUGAGGCGUCAUCCCUGUUUUGCCAAUUCCCAUUCAUCUGAUUCUGGAAUAUUGGCCGGAUUAAGAGGAUCAGGAGGUGGUGUUGAUGGAGAUGUAGGAGGAGGAUUAGGUAAAAAUGAUUCUUCUUUUACUAUUCUCCCUGAUGGGACUAAAUUAAAAACUUAUAGUAAAAAAUAUUUCAAACCAGGAAUUUCCCAAUCACCAUUAUCAUCAUCAUCAUCAUCAUCACCAUCACCAUCAGCAUCAUCUUUACCUUUAGUAAAAAGAGGAAUAAAUAAUUUCACAACAACAACAAUAGGAUCUGGAGGAGAUGAUUGCUCAUUUAUCAGCUGGUCUUUAGUUUACGAAAAGUUUACUGAAGUUAAAGAUGCUCUCACUUCGGAGUCUGUUGGUUAUCUCUCAUGUAAGGAAUGUAAAGCUCUAAUUAAACGAGAUAUUCGUAACAUAACCGGACAUACCUGUAAAUCUAAAGACAUUGCAAGGAAAAAUUCAUCAAACAUUGAAACAUCUCUUCUAUUAUUUCGUCAAAAGCCUAAAAGUCGAGCUACUCCAGUUUGGGAAAUUUUCGAAGAGAUUAUCGAUCCAACCACCAACAUAGUCCUUGGUUAUGUUCGUUGUAAACAAUGUAAAAAUAUAAUUCGUGCCACUGAUCCUAAAUCAGUUCCUGCAGUAUUAAGAAAACAUAUUCCCAAUUGUCCAGCUGAUCCGGCUAACGAUCAAUCGGGAAUAAUAUUACCAAAUGAUAAUGAAGCUGAAAUCGAUUCAGCGAUUGUUCAAAUUGUAUCAUAUAAUACCAAUUCCUUAACCUCUGGUUCCAUCAAACAAAAUGCAUCUUCAUCCCAAUCAUCUAAUCAACAAUCACCCACCCGAACGAUAACCUCAUCACCAAGAUCGCCAAUGGGACCACCUUCAUCAUCAUCAAUUCUAAAUAAAUCAAUUGCACCUUCAAGUACCUCAUCAUCAUCAACACCAUCAUCAUCUAAAAUUGUAAAUGCCAAGACAGAUUUUCGAGAGAAAGUUAUCCAAUUUUGUUACAGUGAAUUGGUUGGUCUUGAAGCGGUUACCAGUGAAUCUUUUAAACGACUUGCUCAAAGUUUGGUCUCUCUUGGAUCACAAUAUGGACGAUCUACUUUAGUCUUACCCGAUGUAAAUCAACUUCAACUUCACAUGAAUCAACAUUUUCUCCAAGUCAAGGAAACAAUUAGAAUCCAAUUAGACCAUGAAAUUGCCCGUAACAUGGGAGGUUCCCUUGUCUGUGAUACCCAAGGAACCCUUUGUAUCCUAUCCGCUUAUUAUAUUAACCGUGAUUGGCAAUUAGUUGAAUCAAUUUUAAGUGCCACCGUUUCCAAUGAAGAUAUUAAUUCAUUUAUUACAACUGCUCUUAACGAUUAUGGUUUAAAUGAAGAGGAAAGAUUAGCAAAGUUUACCUUUGUCUCCAGAGGUGGACUUUUUGAUGGUGUUAACAUUUGUCUACCCUCAAUUGCCCAUACAAUUGAUCAACUUAUUGAGACAACAAUUUUCAAUGAUGAAAUGAUUAGUGAAUUGGUUGAAAAUUGCCGCAUCAUUUGCGCCGAGUUAAAAGCGGAAAUUAAACUUGACCCGAUAACCAUAAACGUUACCUGGAUUUAUAAAUGGGAAUUAAUGAAUACCGUUUUAUUGAAUCGUGAUAAUUUUGAGAUGCAAAAUUCAACCCUUGACAUUGAUUUAAUUAAAAAUAUUGUCGAUCUUUUAAUUAUUUUUAAAGAAGCCUCUGUUGAACUGAGACAAUGUAACAAAUACCCAACCCUUAAUCAUGUAUUACUUUGGUACCAUAAGCUUUUAAAAGUUUUAAAUGCAACCUCACUUUUCAAUGUAUCUACAAACCAUGUAACCAUCAAUGUAACCCAAUUAUCAUCACCUUCACCAUCAUCCUCGACCAUAUCAACUGUAACAACAACAACAACAACAACAGCGGCAGCAUCAUCACCAACACCAAGCACAACCACAACGAAAAUCCCACCAACCAAUACAACCAACACUUCACCAACAUCUCCAUCAUCAUCAUCUUCACUAGUAGUUACAGCAUUGAUUCCUGCAAUUGGAAUCGCCACCACAACAAGUACAACCAAUGAUCCAAUUGAAGAGACACCAUUUUUGGGAUCGAUAAAAAAUUUCCUCAAACUUGGUCUCGAACAGCAUUUCAGUCUUCACCAUCUUCACAAAAUUGCAACCUUUUUAUGGCCCAAUUUUAGGUACCUUAAAAUGUUAACCACCGAAGAACGGGAAGAAGUUCAUUCCCAAGUUCGGUCUUACAUUGAUACUCGAUUAUCAACCGAUGAGGGAAUAGCAGCUUCAGCUAAAAAAGCAAGAUCUGACUUCUCAGAUUGGGAAGAUAAUGCAGUUGACUCUGUGGACGAAGUGGAAAAAUACAUCACCGCCAUGUUAACUUCAUGUAAUGAAACCAAUUUACUCCAAUGGUGGAAAGAGCAUCAAAAUGAUUUCCCGAAACUUUCCCACCUUGCAAAAUGGGUUCUAUCCAUUCCCGCCUCUGUUACAUCCCUGGAGAAAUUUAAACUUCAUCCAACUCAACGAGUUAACGAUGAGCUAUUAUUUUUAUAUUGUAACUCUUAUGUUCAGAAAGAAAUCAAUACACUUUCCCGUUUUCGAAGAUGAAAUUUACAAUAAUCUUCAACUUACUUACUGGUAACAUCAAGAAAAACAAUUCUAAGAUCAAGUCGAAAAACGCCGAAAAGAAGAAACGAUUUAGCUCAAUUAAGACAAGUUUGGCUCGUAGUAAUUGGUCAGAAAAGAUGAAAAUUAAAGCGGAGCGAAAAGCAAUCAAGCAACGAGAUGAUGAAUCUAAAGCACGUCGUCAACAGAAGUUGGAGGAAGAGAGACGAUUACGAGCGGAGGCCAGAAAACGCAAAGAGGAAAACCAGCGUAAAGCUGAGAUAGUACAACCAAUUAAAAAAACUGCCAAACUAAAAAGACUAAAGAAAAGAGAAUUGAAAAAGAUUCGCAAAGUAUAAAUAUCGAUUUGGUUUCCGUUAAACUAUUGUUACCACGAUGAACUGACCAUCAAUUGAUGUUUACCACACAAAUUUUUUGAUCGAAAACAAACUGACCAAUAAGCCAAUCAAUCGUUUUGCUGCUUAAUUAUAUUUUUUUCUCUGUGUUGUUGAUAUCAUAUACAAAUUACACCGAUAAUUUAAUACAAAACGAUUAAAUAGUGAAGACAAAAGUUAAAAUUAUUCUUAAUGAA